UUGUCCGGUUGGAGGUCGUCGUCCUCAACGCCCUCUCUCUAUCUUUCACAUUUGGCGCUCGAGCGUCUUGGUCUUCCAGCGGGCGCGGCGGUUCUGGAACCAGACGACGACCUGACGCGGCUGCAGGGCGAGGUCGCACGCGAUGAGGUCGCCGCGCGCCCGCCGGCCACUGCCAGGGCCAGCUUGUCCUCGUCCUCGUCCAUCUCGGCCUCGUCGUCGGGCUCCAUCUUCCGCGCCGGCAGGGCCUCUUCCACCGCGAACGUCAGCUUCUCCCCUGCAAUAGGCGUUGUCCCUGCUCCAGUAAGAGUAGGCGAGGACGAGCCUCCCCCAUCCUGGGUGUUGGUGCCUGACCCAUUUUCUCAAGAUAAGAUGUUCAGAGGUUCUCCUAAGAUAGUAGCUUUAUCUAAAGCUGCUCAAAAGAAGGCUUCUCCUAAAGCUGCAACAACAAAGAAAUGUGGCGGUGCACCAACUGUCAAUCAAGAGAAGGAGACAAAAAGAGUGAGGAAAGAUGCACUAGAAGGGCUGAUAGGGAGGUACCUUGAUGUGAAAACGAAGCAAGUUGCAGAUGAGGCUGCACAAUCAGCAAAAGUAAAGGAUGUUGCUCAAGAUAAUGAUUUUUCUAUCAAGAGGUGUAUUUCUGUUCUUAAGACUAUGGAUAUGACAAGAGAUGAGAAGGUCAAAGCAGCUGAGGUGUUCAACAUACCAAAUUACAGGGAAACAUUUAUUUGUUUCAAUGAUGAUGAGCCAGAAGUCGCUCUCCUUUGGCUAAGAGGGAAGAUGGAUAAACUCUAAAGGCAGGUCUGGUGGAACACGGACAGGCUCUGACUUCGUUCGAGACCAUCCAUUUGAUUCUUGCACCGGUUCUUUUCUCAGUUCAGUUGAAAGCUAGCACUAGAUGCCUACACGGAAUAGAAGGUCCACCACAGUCCACAGUCGUUCAUCCAAGCAGCUGUGUAGAUGUCGCCUCCUGUUAUUUUGUCCCUUUUCUGGUUGUCAUGUCCCUUUUUCUGGUUGUCACGUUGAGCUCUUGGUUUGCAGUUUCAUGUUGGUGUGCAUUGUCUGAAUAGAAAACUGAAAGGCUGUUGUUUCAGUUUCAUGUUGGUGUGCGUCCUCUGAAUAGAAAACUGAAAAGUUGUUGUUUCAGUUUCAUGUUGGUGUGCGUCCUCUGAAUAGAAAACUGAAAGGCUGUUGUUUCAGUUUCAU
rnacentral:misc_RNA from 1 species